AGCUUUGCGCAGUGGCAGUAUCGUAACCAAUGAGGUUUAUCCGAGGUGCGAUUAUUGCUAGUUGAAAACUUUUCCCAAUACCCCGCUUAGGUCGACGUGAAAUACCGUCGGCUACGGCAAUUUUUGUUAGUCCCUUCAAGGA